GGAGGUUGGCUUAGAAGCAGCCACCCUUGAAAGAGUGCGUAAUAGCUCACUGGUCGAGUGAUCUUGCGCGGACAAUGUAACGGGGCUCAAGUUCAGUACCGAAGCCGCGGAUGCGACUCUUUGAGUCGUGUGGUAGCGGAGCGUCGAGCGUGCAGCGAAGCGGCGGGACAACCCAGCCGUGGAGCGCGUUCGAGUGCGAAUGUUGGCAUGAGUAGCGAAUGAGGGGUGAGAACCCCCUCCGCCGUAUGUCCAAGGGUUCCUGGGCGAGGCCAAUCCUCCCAGGGUGAGUCGGGAGCUAAGGCGAGGCCGAGAGGCGUAGUCGAUGCACAACUGGUUGAUAUUCCAGUACCACCAUGUUCGCGUCCGUCCCAAUACUCUGUUGCUAAGGGGCUGUGUUGACUUCGGUCAACGCGAACCGACCCACAUUGUUGCGGGAAGCUGUAGGGGGACGCAGGAAGGUAGAUGAACCCGGUGAAUGGUAGAACCGGGGUAAGCGUGUAGGAGGAGGACCAGGUAAAUCCGGGCCUCAUAAACUCUGAGACGUGAUACCGAGCCGCUUCAGGCGAAGUCAUUGAUCCUAUGCUGCCUAGAAAAGCCCAGCAGCGAGUUGACAUGGUGCCCGUACCCCAAACCAACACAGGUGGACAGGUAGAGCAUACCAAGGCGAGUGGGAUAACUAUGGUUAAGGAACUCGGCAAAUUGCCUCCGUAACUUCGGGAGAAGGAGGACCCCAGUAGCGUGAUGAGACUUGCUCUCUGAGCGUGAAGGGGUGGCACAAAAUUGAGGGAAGCGACUGUUUACCAAAAACACAGCAGCGUGCUAAGCCGUAAGGCGCUGUAUACGCUGUGACUCCUGCCCGGUGCUGGAAGGUUACGGGGAUGGGUUAGUCCUUCGGGACGAAGCUCUGAACCUAAGCCCCAGUAAACGGCGGCCGUAACUAUAACGGUCCUAAGGUAGCGAAAUUCCUUGUCGGGUAAGUUCCGACCUGCACGAAUGGCGUAACGACUUCCCAACUGUCUCAACCACUGACCCAGCGAAAUUGAAGUACGAGUAAAGAUGCUCGUUAGCUGCAGAAGGACGGAAAGACCCCGUGGACCUUUACUAUAACUUGAUGUUGUGUUUUGUCAUAUGUUGUGUAGGAUAGGUGGGAGACUUGGAAGCAUGGACGCUAGUCUGUGUGGAGUCAUCGUUGAAAUACCACCCUGCAUAUGGUGAGGCUCUAACCUAGACCCGUUAUCCGGGUUGGGGACAGCGUCAGGCGGGUAGUUUAACUGGGGCGGUUGCCUCCUAAAGAGUAACGGAGGCGCCCAAAGGU
rnacentral:rRNA from 1 species